AGAGUUGAUCCUGGCUCAGAACGAACGCUGGCGGCGUGCUUAACACAUGCAAGUCGAACGAGGUCUUCGGACCGAGUGGCGGACGGGUGAGUAAUACAUAGGCAACCUGCCCAUCAAUGGGGGAUACCCAGCCGAAAGGUUGGCUAAUACCGCAUACGCUCAUCAUCUGGGAUGGUGAUGAGGAAAGAUUUUAUCGUUGAUGGAUGGGCCUGUGGUCGAUUAGCUAGUUGGUGAGGUAAUGGCUCACCAAGGCGACGAUCGAUAGCUGGUCUGAGAGGAUGAUCAGCCACACUGGGACUGAGACACGGCCCAGACUCCUACGGGAGGCAGCAGUGGGGAAUUUUCCGCAAUGGGCGAAAGCCUGACGGAAGCGACGCCGCGUGGAGGAUGACGGUCUUCGGAUUGUAAACUCCUGUCAAGGGGGACGAUGAUGACGGUACCCCUGGAGGAAGCAUCGGCUAACUACGUGCCAGCAGCCGC
rnacentral:rRNA from 1 species